CUAUCUGUGCCUUUUGAUUCUGAUGUUAGAGAACUAAAGUUAUUUAUUUAAAGCAUUUAUUCUACAGAGUGCAUGUUACUUGACACAACAGUAAUUCACCAUCAGCAGCUUCCUGACACAUCUGAAAAUCAAGUCACCUCUUUAGGCCAGCAAGAUGUCAGUCCUUCCUCACUGCUGGUGUUUUGGUAUUUUAUAUAAGUCGAGACUGACCACAAUGUUUGUUUGGCCUGUUGGUGGUAGCAAGGCUGAAAUACUGUUGAGGAAGGUAUUGCUGCUGCAGAGUUGCUUGAACAAGAAAAGUAUCUAAGGUGAUCCCAGAAGUAACUGUUUUUGACAGUACAGCUCAGGAUUGUUACUGGAAAGAUUCAAAGCUGUUUGUGUGGAUGGGGUGUUUUCCUACCUAUUGAUAACACAGCAAGACUGCAUGAUUCACUGGGAGUAAUUGACUACAAUUGGAUGUCGAAUUUACAACAUCCUUUUGCUCACAUUCAAAGCAAACUUUGAACUUUACCUGCAGUAGUUAUUUGAGACUUAGCUAUUAUUAGUACAUGAAACUCCACUGCCAGCUUUACCUGUUGCUUGCUUUUUACUUCACAGUUUAGCAAUGUAACUUUAUUGUGAAUUUUUCAGUACAGCUAUUUAGUGAUUUAAGUGUAAUUAUUUUUCCUUGCCACAUUUAAACUGAAAUUUUACUUGAUAUCAAAACAGUUUAAGUAUACUGAUAAACCCCAAAUACAGUAAACAUUAGCUUACUUUUUAGAAUAAUUUGAACCCCUGACUUUGUAACUGUUUGUAUGCAAGUGUCAGUCUUACACGCUGUUGUGCAAUAUCAUAACCCUUUUUUCUUGCAGUAUUGGGAGAAAAAAUGCAGUUGUAUGGCCUCAUAUUUCAAUGGGAUGCAUCUGAAAAAGAUCCUUUCCUGAUAAUAGAAUGGAUGUUUUUACCCUAUGGGUCCCCAAAAACAAUUUUUACAACAUUAGAAAUGAUUACUCAGAUCAUAAUCAGAGCCAGAGAAAGAUUUCUAACUAUAGCAGGCCAAGAUUUUGUUGUGAUUUACCUUUCUUUGAAAAAGGAAUAUUUUGAUUGGGCUUUACAACAUCCAGAAGACUUAGAAAUUGCAUUGCUAGAUUAUUCAGGUGUUUGUUCUAUCCACUUUCCAAGCCAUAAGUUGUUGCAAGCUAAAUUGCGCUUUAGAGAAAAACCCAUGUUGAGUGAAGUGCCUUUAGAUGCUGUAACAAUAUUUACUGAUGGUUCAAGGAAAAUACACAAAUUAGUAAUAGUAUGGCAAAACCAAACAACUAAAACAUGGGAAUCAAACAUUCAAACAGUAGAAGGUUCUCCUCUAAUUGUUGAAUUAGCAGCAGUAGUUAGAGCAUUCUGUUUUUUUCAGGAACCUUUCAAUUUAAUUAGAGACUCUGCUUAUGUUGCUAAUGUGGUUAGAAGAACAGAAGGAUCAGUUUUAAAAAAUGUUAGUAAUGAUACCCUGUGUCAUUAUCUCACAUGUCUUUAUAAAAUUUUACAACAGAGAACUAACAAGUAUUUUGUUUCCCAUAUUAGGGCACAUUCUUCAUUUCCAGGAUUUUUAGCAGAAGGAAAUGCAAGAGCAGAUGAAUUAACAAUGACUGUUGCAAGUAUUGUAUGCCCAGCAUUUUUGAACAAGCAAAAUUGAGUCAUGCCUUUUUUUUUGUCAAAAUGCACAAGCACUUAUGUGAGUGUUUCAUAUUUCCAAAGAUCAAGCAAAAGCCAUUCUAAGUGCUUGUCCUGAUUGUCAACUUGUGCAGCCUGUUAUGUCCACAGGAGCUGUCAGCCCACAAGGGUUGCAAAGCCUGCAGUCAUGGCAGACAAAUAUCACCAAAUAUCCAUCUUUUGGGAAAUUAAAAAACAUCCAUAUGUCGAUAGACACUUUUUCAGGUGCAGUUUUUGCCUCCUUACACAUAGGAGAAACUACUGAUCAUGCUUGUCAACAUUUUUUGCAAGAAUUUGGUUUGUUAGGGGUACCUCAAGAAAUAAAACCAGACAGUGGUCCUGCAUAUACAGCUCAUAAAUUGGACACAUUUUCAAUGGAUUUAGGUGUUUGCCAUAUUUUUGGUAUCCCCUACGCUCCCAUGAGUCAAGCUAUUAUUGAAAGAACACAUCAAACUUUGAAAUGUAUCUUAGACAAAAAUAAGAGGGGGAAUUACACAGGCAGCAACUGAAUAAAUCUUGAUAUGUUUUUAAUUUUUUAAAUAGCGCCUUUGCAGAACCUAACCCACCAAUUUUUACGCAUUUUUCUAAUUGUACAUAGGCAAAGUUGAAAGAAAAUCCUUUAGUUUUAAUUAGAAACCCAGAAACAGGACAAAUUAAAAGUCCAUUUCCUUUUAUAACCUGGGGCAAAGGGUAUGCUUGUGUUUCAACAGGUAUGGGACCUAAAUGGAUUCCAGUGAAGAAUGUGAAGCUGUAUCAUGUGCAAAAAUGACGAGCAGAGAAUCAAGCACGCAGACAUGAGAUGCACAGGGACUACAGCUGAUGACUGACAUCUUUUGUCCCACCUGCAAAAGCUGUGAACCUUGGGUUUUAUGUCAAUGUAAGAAGUGUGGGAAUUGUUGGUAUCGUAGAGCUCUUCUAGCAAAACCAUGGUGUGUAUUGUGCUUUAUUUUAGAAUCACUAACAAGGUCUAAAGUAAUUGAAUUUUAGCUGUGGUAGGUCAUGAAGAAAAGAAUAGCCCCCACCUCUCUGCUCUUAGAUAAGAAUGCAGAAGGGAAUUUUUGAAAGAAUCAGAAAAUAUAAAAAUUUAUAAAGUUGAAGGAAAACAAAAUAGCUUAGUGCCUUAUCUUUUGUCUGUCCCCGAGUAAGUAUGGGAAGAAACAAAAAAGGAAUGUGUUAAAAGAUUUACUAUAGCUAAAGAUUAACAUGGAGUAAAAUCAAAUGUUAUGUUUAUGCCUUUUUAUUGAGUUUGCUUUUCAUAGUGCUACUUUUCCUGGUAAUCAACCCAAAACAAAUGUUUGGGUGACUUUAGCUAAUACAUCAGGCCUAAACACCAUAUGCUUAGCCACUACAACCUCAGAAAAUCCAUUUUCCACCUUUUUAGUAGGGCUGCCUGUGGAUGCAUGGACAAUAAAAGAAGCAUUCAUGUUCUAAGAAGUAAAAGCACUGGCAGCACGUGGGAUUGGGAUCACAACCCUGUAGAUACUUGGAAUAUUGGACAGGAGAACUUCCUCAAGCUUCCUUAGAGCCUCAGGAGAUAGAUCUCCUUGGUUCAGUAAAAUUGAUUUUUGUGUUAGAUUCAGCUACAUAGGGAAAUAGUCAUUAUUAGUCAAAGAUAUUUCUCCUCGUCACCAAGUGUAUAAGAACCAGACUUUGUGGUGCAAUUACACUUCCUUAGUACUUGCAUGGUCUAUUGACACACUUUCACAGUUGCUGCAAGGGAUGUUCUUUAUUUGUGGAGACUGAGCCUGGCCUGCCAUUUCAGACAUCAAAGGUGGUCCAUGUAGCUUGGGGAGGCUUACUUUGCUAACACCGAGUAUUAAAAUGAUCUCUGACAAUAGACACAGAGGGAAGAGGUUUCCUCAUCAUUAUGAAUCAGAUUGUAAAGAUGAUUUUGAACCUUGGGGUUUUGGAAAAAGACUUUCAACAUCCAUACUCUUACCUCAGCUUGCCUCUGCAGUAGCGUUAAAGCAUUUAGAUUGAUUAGGCUGUUGGCUAAGUAAACAAACCAAUGCUACUUCUCUCACACUGAGUGGUUUGCUAGCAGAUGUCAAAGAUGUACUACAUGCAACUCUUCAAAACAGGGCCACAAUUGAUUUUCUCUUAUCAGCACAUGGACACAGAUGUGAAGAUUUUGAUGGGAUGUGUUGUAUGAAUCUGUCUGAUCAUUCAGAACCCAUCCAUAAAAGCAUACAGCAAUUAAAAGAAGGUGUGUCCAAAAUAAAAGUUGACGAUCGAACUUGUUUAGAUGACCUGUUCAAUAGAUAGAGUUUCACACCUUGGCUGAAAUAACUUCUAAAAAUGGGUCUAUAUAUAUUGAUUGUCAUAAUAGUUGUGCUAAUAAUGGUGCCUUGCUUGCUUCAAUGUACGCGGCAAUCGAUUGAUAAAGCUAUUAAGGGAAUAUUUAUGGUUGAAUAGAAAGGGGGAGAUGUGAGAAAUGCAGGCACAGAAAGCUCUCAAGUUCUUGAACAUACAGGCUUAGAGAUAGAAUUGGAUACAAUGUUUGACCUGAGACCUUGGAGAAGGCUUAAAGCUUUAGAACAAUAAAGUUACACAGACAUGAAGUAAGAGUAGAAGUUUGUAGUGUAAACAGAAACAUAUUUUAAGCAAGCAGAAAUAUGCCUCAUGUAAGCAAAUAAAUAUGUUAAGCAAGAUAGUAGAAAAUUUUAAAGGUUAGCAAUAGUUACUUUGUUACAAAGUUAGUUAGAAAUUAAAGAUGUAGCACUGUAAGUUUCUGCAGUGUUAUAUGAUUGGUUGUGACAAGACGCAUUGUGGUAGAAUUGUUUAAGACAAAGCAAUUAAUGAUUGGUUUAUGAAGAUGCUAGUGAGCUUUGUAAAAGUUGUUGAGGCUAAGAAAUUGUAAAAGGUAUUGUAACUAGAACUAAGACAGCUUCUGAUGUGAUGGUGUUCAAUGUAACAACCUUACUGUCUCACCCUUCCAUGAGACUGGUUUUGCAAUAAAACACCUUUUACAACGUC